UACGUAGGGGGCUAGCGUUGUCCGGAAUCAUUGGGCGUAAAGCGCGCGUAGGCGGCCAGAUAAGUCCGGUGUGAAAGUCAAAGGCUCAACCUUUGAAUGCCGCUGGAAACUGUCUGGCUAGAGUCCGGAAGGGGCGAGUGGAACUCCUGGUGUAGCGGUGAAAUGCGCAGAUAUCAGGAAGAACACCAAUGGCGAAGGCAGCUCGCUAGGACGGUACUGACGCUGAGGCGCGAAAGCGUGGGGAGCAAACAGG
rnacentral:rRNA from 1 species